CUAACAACACGGCAGGGGAGAAACAAGGAUCAUGAAGGCUGUGCUCCCAGAAUGAGGCUACCCUACUGCACUCUGGGCGUGCUGAUGCCUGUGAUGUUUCCAAAUGCGGGAUACUCGACUGCAGGACUUGUGAUAGUGGGGGACUGCAUUGGUGCUCUCCCCUG